UUUUUCUCAGGAUAGCUGGACUACACAAUGGAGUUUUUAAAUUCGGUAAAGCGAAUGAUUAGAAGAAUUGUGGGACGAAAUGUUUCCAACCUGUUCUCAAACUUUCAAUGAAUAUAAUAUCUGGCUUGCUUGAAUGACAGGGAUUCAUAUUCAAUUCAAAUCAAAGAAUAUAUAAUACA
rnacentral:ncRNA from 1 species